UACUAUUAUGACUGACUAUCCUAUCCAGCAUUUGGUAAGUAUGGAUGAGACACAACUUGCUUUUACAAGUUAAUCUGAUCUGUUAAAGCCAGUUUUUUGUUUGCGGUCAUUUGUCCUCUUUCAUUUAAGGAGGAAAAAGCCUUGUGGUGUACCAGCUCUUUAUAGAGAAGCUUAAUGGUGAAGCAAAGCAUACCUUUUUCAGAUGCAUCAUGAAGACUAGCCAUCAUGCAGGUGUAGAAAGUAUCAUCAUCAAAAACAUAAAGAAUCAAAUGGAACGCUGCAGAAAGUCAGCCUAUGAAGACAGCUGGUUUGAGGGGACUCCGCUCAUCUCACUGCUCAGAGAAACUCUCAUUCUCCCAAAGGGCCAUGAAACGGACUUGCUACAUGGGAUGGACAGGUGAAGAAAACCUGUAUUUUUACAAAGACCUUAAAGGGGUCAUAUGAUGCGAUUUAAAAUGUUCCUUUCU